GCGCGAAACCUUUACACUGCACGACAGUGCGAUAAGGGAACUCCAAGUGUGCAUAUACCAUAUGCACUUUUUCGAAGUUUAAAAGCUUUGGGAAUAAGGGGUGGGCAAGACUAGUGCCAGCCGCCGCGGUAAAACUAGCAUCUCUAGUGGCAAUCACUAUUAUUGGGCUUAGAGCGUCCGUAGCUCGCUCGGAAAGUCCCUGGUGAAACCCUGCGGCUUAACCGUAGGGAUUGCCGGGGAAACUAACGGGCUAGAAGGCAAGAGAGGUCGGGGGUACGUCUGGGGAAGGGGUGAAAUCCUAUAAUCCUAGACGGACCAACAGUGGCGAAGGCGCCCGACAUGAGUGCGCUUGACAGUGAGGGACGAGAGCUAGGGUCGCGAAACGGAUUAGAUACCCGUGUAGUCCUAGCCGUAAACGAUGUUGACUAGGUGGGGUGUGACCUUAGAGGUCAUGCUAUGCCGAAGGGAAACCGUUAAGUCAACCGCCUGGGGAGUACGACCGCAAGGUUGAAACUUAAAGGAAUUGGCGGGGGAGCACGUACGAA
rnacentral:rRNA from 1 species